rnacentral:lncRNA from 1 species
CUUCAGAAAAAGCUUUGCUCCCUAGUUCAACUGAACAAAAGCAAUUUUUUGACUAUGGGCCUACUGCCGGCAUUCCUCUAGGAGGUGGUGGUGGAGAUCCGGGCGAGAUACCUUCAGAAAAAGCUUUGCUCCCUAGUUCAACUGAACAAAAGCAACUUUUUGACUAUGGGCGCAGAGCCGGCAUUCGUCAAGGAGGUGGUGGUGGAGAUCUGGGCGAAAUAUCUUCGGAAAAAGCAUUAGAUAAAAUGCUUAGUCAAUUUCCAUUUAAAUAUGGGUAUUAGACUUAGUAGAUACUAAAUCAUCAAUUUCCAUCUCAUAUGGAAAAAAAUAAAAUAAAUAAAAAUAUGUGUCUUGUAUUUCUGUAAUCCUAUUUCCUUGUAUAACGGAUUAUAGAAAUUAUUAUGUGUACUUCAAAUAAAUGCAUAUGGACUUUCUCUACUGAUAAUAUGAAUAUUAAUUUUUACUAUUUCUAUUAUAGAUGUAUUUUAUAAUUUAUUAUGGGUAAUUUUCACUCAUAGUCACCUGG